rnacentral:rRNA from 1 species
UACGGAGGGGGCUAGCGUUGUUCGGAAUUACUGGGCGUAAAGCGUACGUAGGCGGCUUGCCAAGUCAGAGGUGAAAUCCCACGACUCAAUCGUGGAACUGCCUUUGAGACUGGUUCGCUUGAAGAUGGGAGAGGUCAGUGGAAUUCCGAGUGUAGAGGUGAAAUUCGUAGAUAUUCGGAAGAACACCAGUGGCGAAGGCGGCUCACUGGACCGGCAUUGACGCUGAGGAGCGAAAGCUAGGGGAGCAAACGGG